UACGAAGGGGGCGAGCGUUGUUCGGAAUUACUGGGCGUAAAGGGCGCGUAGGCGGCGACUCAAGUUAGAUGUGAAAGUCCUGGGCUUAACCUGGGGACUGCAUUUGAUACUGGGUUGCUUGAAUUCGGGAGAGGAUAGCGGAAUUCCCAGUGUAGAGGUGAAAUUCGUAGAUAUUGGGAAGAACACCGGUGGCGAAGGCGGCAUCCUGGACCGGCAUUGACGCUGAGGCGCGAAAGCCAGGGGAGCAAACGGG
rnacentral:rRNA from 1 species